UUGUUAUGUAGGUGAGCCUGAAGAAA
rnacentral:piRNA from 1 species